rnacentral:rRNA from 1 species
AACGCUGGCGGCAGGCCUAACACAUGCAAGUCGAGCGGUAGCACAGGGAGCUUGCUCCUGGGUGACGAGCGGCGGACGGGUGAGUAAUGUCUGGGAAACUGCCUGAUGGAGGGGGAUAACUACUGGAAACGGUAGCUAAUACCGCAUAACGUCUUCGGACCAAAGAGGGGGACCUUCGGGCCUCUUGCCAUCAGAUGUGCCCAGAUGGGAUUAGCUAGUAGGUGAGGUAAUGGCUCACCUAGGCGACGAUCCCUAGCUGGUCUGAGAGGAUGACCAGCCACACUGGAACUGAGACACGGUCCAGACUCCUACGGGAGGCAGCAGUGGGGAAUAUUGCACAAUGGGCGCAAGCCUGAUGCAGCCAUGCCGCGUGUAUGAAGAAGGCCUUCGGGUUGUAAAGUACUUUCAGCGAGGAGGAAGGCAUUGUGGUUAAUAACCGCAGUGAUUGACGUUACUCGCAGAAGAAGCACCGGCUAACUCCGUGCCAGCAGCCGCGGUAAUACGGAGGGUGCAAGCGUUAAUCGGAAUUACUGGGCGUAAAGCGCACGCAGGCGGUCUGUCAAGUCGGAUGUGAAAUCCCCGGGCUCAACCUGGGAACUGCAUUCGAAACUGGCAGGCUAGAGUCUUGUAGAGGGGGGUAGAAUUCCAGGUGUAGCGGUGAAAUGCGUAGAGAUCUGGAGGAAUACCGGUGGCGAAGGCGGCCCCCUGGACAAAGACUGAC